rnacentral:rRNA from 1 species
UACGUAGGGUGCGAGCGUUAAUCGGAAUUACUGGGCGUAAAGUGUGCGCAGGCGGCCGCGCAAGUCGAGUGUGAAAGCCCCGGGCUUAACUUGGGAAUGGCAGUGGAAACUAGGGGACUGGAAUCUGGCAGAGGGGGGUGGAAUGCCGCGUGUAGCAGUGAAAUGCGUAGAUAUUCGCAAGAACACCAGUGGCGAAGGCGGCUCACUGGCCCGAUACUGACGCUGAGGCACGAAAGCGUGGGGAGCAAACAGG